AAACGAGGGAAAUGUAGUAACAAUCAAGGCUGCAAACGGAGUCUCAAGCACUUUUGGUGGUUUUUGUUAGCACCUGGAUGACAAGGGCACAAGUCCAAAGGUGUCACCUGAUCAUCAGGAACCUUGGGGAUCUGACAGCAGCCAAAGUCCACGGCCACCUUGCUGGCGCUACCGUCCAUCAAGGCUUCUUCCACUGCAGCAAAGGCGUGGCGCACCACGGCCAGGCACUGUAAGAGGAUGACGAGGAAGAGGAGGGCAGAAAAGUCCAGCGUUGCCUUUACAGGAGCAGAAGAGGCCACGGCCCCGAACACCAGGAAAUGAGACUUGGACACAGAGUAUAUUGAGGAUGACUGUCAGGAAGCUGUUGACUGAGAGAAACACCAUAUAACCGGGCUAUUCAAUUAGCGGCCCCAGGGCUGGAACAGGAUCCAGCACCUCUUGGUUUUGGCCUGCCUGCGUUCUGGGACUUGUUUGGGGCGACCCGGUA